AGAUUGAACGCUGGCGGCAGGCCUAACACAUGCAAGUCGAGCGGUAGAGAGGUGCUUGCAUCUCUUGAGAGCGGCGGACGGGUGAGUAAUGCCUAGGAAUCUGCCUAGUGGUGGGGGAUAACGUUCGGAAACGGACGCUAAUACCGCAUACGUCCUACGGGAGAAAGCGGGGGACCUUCGGGCCUCGCGCCAUUAGAUGAGCCUAGGUCGGAUUAGCUAGUUGGUGAGGUAAUGGCUCACCAAGGCGACGAUCCGUAACUGGUCUGAGAGGAUGAUCAGUCACACUGGAACUGAGACACGGUCCAGACUCCUACGGGAGCAGCAGUGGGGAAUAUUGGACAAGUGGGACGAAAGCCUGAUCCAGCCAUGCCGCGUGUGUAGAAG
rnacentral:rRNA from 1 species